rfam:Schistosoma mattheei strain Denwood, Zambia genome assembly, scaffold: SMTD_scaffold0002864
AUCCAGCUGACAAGUCUCAAAUAAGACGAAACGCGCGUUCUUGAU